GACGAACGCUGGCGGCGUGCUUAACACAUGCAAGUCGAACGGAAAGGCCCUGCUUUUGUGGGGUGCUCGAGUGGCGAACGGGUGAGUAACACGUGAGUAACCUGCCCUUGACUUUGGGAUAACUUCAGGAAACUGGGGCUAAUACCGGAUAGGAGCUCCUGCUGCAUGGUGGGGGUUGGAAAGUUUCGGCGGUUGGGGAUGGACUCGCGGCUUAUCAGCUUGUUGGUGGGGUAGUGGCUUACCAAGGCUUCGACGGGUGGCCGGCCUGGGAGGGUGACCGGCCACAUUGGGACUGAGAUACGGCCCAGACUCCUACAGGAGGCAGCAGUGGGGAAUAUUGCACAAUGGGCGGAAGCCUGAUGCAGCAACGCCGCGUGCGGGAUGACGGCCUUCGGGUUGUAAACCGCUUUCGCCUGUGACGAAGCGUGAGUGACGGUAAUGGGUAAAGAAGCACCGGCUAACUACGUG
rnacentral:rRNA from 1 species